rnacentral:rRNA from 1 species
GAACGCUGCGGCGUGCUUAAUACAUGCAAGUCGAACGAAGCACCUCUCCCGUUGAUUGACCUAGCUUGCUAGAGAUUGAACAAUUGAGGUGACUGAGUGGCGGACGGGUGAGUAACGCGUGGGUAACCUGCCUUGUACAGGGGGAUAACAGUUGGAAACGACUGCUAAUACCGCAUAAGCGCACAGUAUCGCAUGAUACAGUGUGAAAAACUCCGGUGGUACAAGAUGGACCCGCGUCUGAUUAGCUAGUUGGAGGGGUAACGGCCCACCAAGGCAACGAUCAGUAGCCGACUUGAGAGAGUGAUCGGCCACAUUGGGACUGAGACACGGCCCAGACUCCUACGGGAGGCAGCAGUGGGGAAUUUUCCGCAAUGGGCGAAAGCCUGACGGAGCAAUGCCGCGUGGAGGUGGAAGGCCUACGGGUCGUCAACUUCUUUUCUCGGAGAAGAAACAAUGACGGUAUCUGAGGAAUAAGCAUCGGCUAACUCUGUG